rnacentral:rRNA from 1 species
GCAAGUCGAGCGCACCCUUCGGGGCGAGCGGCGGACGGGUUAGUAACGCGUGGGAACGUGCCCUUCUCUAAGGAAUAGCCUCGGGAAACUGAGAGUAAUACCGUAUACGCCCUUCGGGGGAAAGAUUUAUCGGAGAUGGAUUGGCCCGCGUAAGAUUAGAUAGUUGGUGGGGUAAUGGCCUACCAAGUCUACGAUCUUUAGCUGGUUUUAGAGGAUGAUC